AGCAGCCGCGGUAAUUCCAGCUCCAAUAGCGUAUAUUAAAGUUGUUGCAGUUAAAAAGCUCGUAGUUGAAUUUCGGGAUCAAUACGUCGGUCGUGCUUCGGUACGUACUGGCGUAAUUGAUUUCUCCCUUCUGACGAACCAUGAUGUCAUUAACUUGGUGUCAUGGGAAAUCAGGACUGUUACUUUGAAAAAUUAGAGUGUUUAAAGCAAGCUAACGCUUGAAUACAUUAGCAUGGAAUAAUGAAAUAGGACGUUCGAUCCUAUUUUGUUGGUUUCUAGGAUUGACGUAAUGAUUAAUAGGGAUAGUUGGGGGCAUUAGUAUUCAAUUGUCAGAGGUGAAAUUCUUGGAUUUAUUGAAGACUAACUACUGCGAAAGCAUUUGCCAAGGAUGUUUUCAUUAAUCAAGAACGAAAGUUAGGGGAUCGAAGACGAUCAGAUACCGUCGUAGUC
rnacentral:rRNA from 1 species